rnacentral:lncRNA from 1 species
CUUUCUUAACUUUUGUGAUUGGAGAAAGGUAUUCUUUUUUUUUUUUGCAAAUAUCUAGUAUGUUUUACCUAAAUGGUAACUAGUGAGUAUUCUUUCUUUACUUGUGGUUGCUUUAGGCAGCACCUGAGGCUAGAGAGAAUAAAAUCUGUCACUAACCUCAAGAAGUUUAGAUUUAGACAUUUAAAUUAAACAUAGAUGAAUUGAAAGAAGCUUGAGGUGAUCCAGCGAUGGAUGCAAUUUUUUGUUUAAAAAGAACAUUUCUGUAUUACAAAUUUUAUUUAUCUAUAUCUCUCCAUUAAUAUGUUCAAGAAUUCAUGAGCAUACUAUUGGUUACUUGAUAGAGAAGGGGAAAAGACCGUAAGAGCUGAAAAGGAAUUUUUAAUCUUCUUUUUCUUAGAGGCAUUUAAAAAAGUUCUAGGAGUUGCUGUCAUUUGAGAACACUCAGAAACAAAACAUGAAAGCACCAAUGGUAUUAAAACAUAUGAAGGAAAACAUUUGCUGUGCAACAGCCUAUCCAGAGUCAGUCUAUACAUUGAUGAAUAUUGGGUCAUUUUGUUAAGGGAGCAUAAUAGUGUUUCUCUUCCUUUGAAAUACGAAAGAUCUGAGGAUUAAAAUCGCAGAACAGAAAACUGUACUUAGGUAUAAUAGUUCUGAUAGUUCUUAGUAAGCUCCUUAAGUACAGUACUUCUCAAACAUAACCAUAUAUAUGCAUAUAUCCUAAGUAUUUGGCAGAUGUGCAAGAUCUGAUGUGGAUCCUGAGUCCCUUCAUAUCUGACCCAUCCCCAGGUGAUAUGGAUGCCCAAGAGUUUAGCAUUAGUAACCUUUACAAAGUCCUCAUCCUUGGCAACCUUCUCGAGUAAUCCUGCUUUGUCCUCUCACACAAUGGUUUGUAGACCUUCACUUUUGUCAUUGACCUCUAGCAGGACAAUAAAAAUUCCUUUAGCACUUUUCCAUACUUAAGCCAUUCAUCUCACAGGUAUAAUAUACAUAAUAACUUUAAACAGUUUCCUUUGGAAGGUGGCAUUAAGCCACUCAUACAAAUCUGGGCCUUAUUAAUGGAUACAGGUUGAAAAUAAAAAGCUCUUUGGUAUAUAUCAAACCAGUUGUUCCCUCCAGAAUUUCAUUGUAAACACUCCAUACCUGAUUAUCAACAAGUCUCUUGCUUGUAUCAGAUUUGCCUUCAAAGCCAAGGUGUAUAGAGGCUUAGACAUACUAGUCUGUCAGCUUUUGCCAAGUGUUGGCUGCUGAAAGUGGGGUCAGGGUAUAUUCAUCAGCUUAUUCACAGGACUGUCCCAACCAGGCCGCCUCAAGGAGUGGCUGUCCUUCCUUCGCUCUGUUUUUCCUUAUCAGGUUUAAACAUCUCUGGAGAAACUGAAGACUAACCUGCAUUAAUUUUUUUAAUGCAGAAUCUUCACAGUGUAUUCUUUCUCCCAACCUUCCUCUUUACAGAGGGAAGCAUAGUAAGUGCACCCUCUUUGAUCUAGCCCAUCCAGAUAUUCCUGCCAAGAAUCAGGAUUUUUUCACUUAGCACGUCUUUUUUUAAUGGAAAGAUUUAUUUACUGAUUUCCACUGAGAAGACACUGCCAAUGAUCCACCAUUAGUGGAGCUCAGGCUUGAAUAAGUUUGUUUACAUAGGGGCAGCAGGGAUCAUCAUAGUGAGGACUUUUGGAAUUAGAUAGUCUUGGAUUUGGAGUCUAGUUCUUCUGUUACUAGCUGUGUGACCUUAGGCUGAACCUGAUUUUUCUGAGUCAAACUAAUGUGGAUUCUUGUCUUUCAAAAAGUGGAAAAUCCGCUCUCCGUCAUCACUGGAUCCUCUUAUGCCCCAGGAGGAGAGAGUGAUUUCUGAUCCUCACCCAUUCUGUAGAUGUUAUUGCCUCACCUGAUCCUGUGUCCUGUGGUCCACUCAGAAGGGAGGCUCUGUUAGUGGUUCUGCUUCCGUCAGGGUGCAUUUGCACAGGGACCAGAAGCAUGUGUUCACCAUGGUGUCCACCAGAGCCUGGUCAGCAUCUUCAUCUGACAUCCUGCCUCCAGCAGGUAGAUGUAUGAAUGGAUCAGAGCUUUGCUUUUUCUGAGGUCAUGGCCCUUUCCUUUCCAGUUUUGGGAAAAUAAGCUCUAAGGGGUGAGCCAUUCUCUGCUUUGCUUCCAAGUUUGGAGUUUCCUGCAACUGUCAUAAUCACAGCUCUGGGAAAUUCUGGCACCUAAUUCCUUCAGUUUCCACCUUCAAAACACAGAAGUCUGGAUUCGUAUACCCUAUGUGUAGAUAGUUUUUCUCUUUUUCUAGAACAAUAACAACAACAACAACAACAAAAUAGAAGUUUAUAGCUACCACUAACAUUUACUGUGUGCUUAUUACUUGAAGCCUGGCUAUUCUAGAGGACCACUAAGCAUCUCAGUUUGGUUCACAUUACAAACCCUGGAUAGGAUCAUUCCCAUUUCUAUGUAGGAGGAUAUUGUGGCUCAUAGAGUUUGACCAAGAGCCAGCAAAUGGAACAGUCUGCAUGUGAACUUAGCUGUCUAUGAUUACAAACCAUAAAAACCUGGUUGCUGAGUUCUCACUUUGCCAAUGUCUGUUUCAUCUUCGGUAUGUUUCUUAAAUAUAUUUUUCUUAUCUGAAAAAAAAUAGUGUAGAAUAUUCGCAUUCCAAAAUAUUCUUUCCAAAAAAAUCUGAUUCACUCAACUACUUACUUACUUCUCAGCUAGGUCUUCUCCCAGCCAGUCCAUAAACUGUCAGAGACACUGACACAAGUUUUCAAACUUUUUGGAGGCAAUAAAUCCUUCACCAACUGAAAUCUCAUAUGAAACUCUACCAUAUAAAACUGAUAAAGUGAAAUUUUACUAGUACAGAUUUCUUUUUGAAAUUUACAUUUAUAAUCUUUAUUUACUGCAAUGUCAGAGCAAUGAGAUUUAUCUAGAAGUAAAGUGUUUAUUUUUUUGAGAUGGUGGGGAUUGAACCCAGGGCCAUGCACAGGGUAGAUAAGUGAUCUACAUCUGAGCUACACCCCCAGCCCAAGAAAGAAAAAGUUUAAAUCAGGUAUUGUUAACUGUACAAUAGCUAUACUUGUACCAUCUUCUGUGUUUAAUGAAAUUCUGUACUUUGCUUUAAAUACAUAAUACUGUAUUUUAAAAUCUGUUCUUACAGAGAAUUAUUUACACAUUGUUAGUUUUUUGUUUUGAAUAACUUGGCUUAGGGUCCUAGGAUCUUUUCAGUCCACCCAGCGUGAGGUAGGGAAUGUUUGUUUCAAAGCUGUAACCCUGUAAUUAAACUGAAGAAGGAGUUGCUCACAUUGCUUAUCAUAAACCUAGUCACACAGGAAACAUCUCACUCUUUAGAAGAUGUAUUUAUGCCUCAGGUAGGCUGCUAUCACAAAGUACUUUUCUCAGUGCAGUGAAAGCAAGGCCAAGCAGAUGUCUCUGGGUCUUGCCUAGUAUGCUGGGAAGCCCACAGUCAGGUAUGGUUUGGUUUUGUGUGCUUAAUGAGUGUGGGUAGGUUGCGCAUAUGUGUGUUUAUUUUUGGUUGCACUGAGAUUUGAAACCAGGGAGCACUGAGCUACGUUCCUAGCCCUUUUUAUUUUACUUUUUAAGAUAGGGUAUUGCUAUAUAGCCCAGGCUGGCCUUGAACUGGUGAUUCUUCUGCUUCAACAUCCAAAGUAGCCAAGAUUACAUUCCCAGCACACAUGUGGGUUUCAUAAAAUCCAGUCAGGGCUCCAGCUUCCGUUUGCAGUGUCACACCCAGUUGUUCCUAUGUGUGUACCAGGCCAGCAGAGCAGCCUCCUGGGAGGGUGGUGAGGGCCCCAGGCAGGCUCCCUGGCACCAUCACAGUAAUGGGUAGUGAUCUGCAGUUGUAAAAAGCUCACAUAUAAAUCAUUUUAGUGUGAUUUUUAAAACUACAGCUUUAAAAAUACCUAAAAUAUAUUUGAACAUUAGAAGCAGAUGUCUGUGCUGUCCUUGGAGCACUUCCUCCUGUAGGACUCUUUUUUAACAGCAGCCUGAUUUAUGUUAUGAAAAAUGUUUGUCUCCCUAUGGACUACAGGGAUGAAGUUGGGAACAAUAAAAUAGUGCAGAUGAGAAAAUAACUACAAUUCAGAGAAUGAGUUUGUAUUCAAAAAGAAAGCAAAAUAACUUAAAGUACAAAGAGGGCGCAACCUCUUCUGGGUGAAAGUCAGGGAACGCUUCCGGGAAGAGGCAUUAUAGUGGCAUUUGUGGACUCGUAAAAGUUGGAUAUGAGAAUGUUAGGGAGGAAAGAUUGUGUCCUAGAGCAUGUUGUCAUUUGGGAAGGCAUAAUUUUAGGAGGAAAUUAUGUGGGUAUCAAUACCUUCCUAAAUAGAUUAUUGUCUUCAUUUAAAUGUAGUAGCUCUAAAUGUAUUUUUAAAUAAAAUCCAUUAAUAAGCUCCCAGAAAUACUAUUCUGUAUAUUACAGUAUUUAAAUAUGCCUGAAGCAUCUUUCAGAAUUAAUGCUGACAGUGAUUUACUUGUUCACAUUUAGACUUUUUGGGUGAUAACUUUGCCCAACUUGGCUGCCCCUUUGAUACCCGUGUGUCAUAAGUUUGCCCUACACCCACACUGGUGAUCUUGAGCAUCUGUUUCUGUGCCAGACCCUGGAGAGUUCCAGGCACUCUGCAGUGAACAAGUCAGAACUGGACAGGUGAAUCGCAUGCCUGGAAACCACCUGAAGGUCUUAUCACUAAGCUGGAUUUAAAAAGAUAACAAUGCAAGUUGCAUAAAAUGUAGGCCAUAAAAUAUACACCUCCCAGAAGCUUUUACAUUUUAACAGGGAUCAAAGCUUUGACUAGAACUGCUUCUAAUCACAUAGUACAUGAGGGUGAAUGAUGGUUGGAGCUAUGGGACAUUCCUAGUCCUCCUAAGUCACUGGCUUUUGAAACAGCAGGGUUAGUGCUGUCCUGUGUCUACCUUAAGGCGGGUACAAUCUCUGAUAAUAUACCUUUCCAGAAAGUCUCUUAAAGCAAACUACUGAAUUGGGAAAAUUGAGUGGAUAUGCCUUAGCUGGAAAGGACUGUUAGUAUAGUUUGGCCUUUUUUGAUGAGCAGCUCAGCAGAACAGAGAGAGGGAGUAGAGCAAAGUGCAGAUGCCCAGAACACCUCAUGCUCUGGCAAGCUGUGGUCCCUAGGUGAGUUACUUAGCCUCUGUAUAUGUCUGUAAUUGGGCAUGAUGAUGAUAAUAGUGCCCACCUCAAAGGAUGGUGGAGGGUCAAAAAAGUCAGUGUAUACAGAGCGUUUAGAAUUGUGGCUGCCACAGAGCAAGCACUACAUAUUAAAAUUAGCUACUGUUUCUUCUAGCUAUGUAUUUGCCCUGUAUACCAGUUUUCUGAGACUACAGAUAGACACAUGCUGAGAGUGGAUGGGAAGCUGGAUCACAUGAGAUUGGUUAAUUCCUUCUUUCGUUCCCCACACUCUCCACCCUCCUGCCCCAUGGAGCCCAGUUAUUUGUUCUGUAAGGCUAUAGCAUCAUACUUGAAUGUAUGACCUUGGAAAGUCCUGAUUAAGUAGUUCUGGGCAAAGCUCUAAUGGCUGGAAAAUAAUCAGGCCUCCCACACAUACCUGCUCAGCCAAGAAUUUGUUUGCCCCAGAAACUGUGGGUGGGCGGAAUGGAAGGGAGCACACGCCCAGGCGCCUGCGAACUCUGUGUUCUUGCUGAGGACAGUGCUGUUGCCCUUCCUCAGCUCACUAGUGCUUUCUGUCAUUUUUUUUCAUUCUCAAUUCUAGACAAAUAUUUUCACUGAAGAAGAAAAAGAAACCUUUUUCUCUCUCUUCCUCAACUCUAAGACCCACCCACUUCCCUCUUUGCUUGUUUUCCAGUUUGGCCCUUAUUUGUCCCUUGGUGUUGCUCUUCUGCAAAUGUCUGCAGAGAGGUGAAAUGUCUAAGAGAGGGUGAAAUACAACGUACAUUGAUGAUCUGUAGGGUACCCUAUGUGAUUCCUGAGUUUCUAGGUCUGUAGCAAGGAACUCCGGAAAGGUCCUGGAAUUUCUUUUGGUUCUUGAUAAGUCAGGAACAGAGACCUGUUGCUUUUGUCCUAGGAUACAUCCCAGGUUCUGGCUCUGGCCAGAGCUUUGGCUCUUGUCCAUUCCCGUGGGCUGGGUCUGGCAGCAGGGUAUCUCUUGUCUGCAUUCUGGGGCGAUAGAGCCAGUUCAAAGAGGGGUUUGUGUCCCAGUCCCUGGGAAGCAGCUGCACUGGGCCAUGUGAGUCUGCUUGACUUUAGUUAUUGAUUCCUGGCUUGUGUAACACUUGCUUUUCCCGUUAGCCUGCUUAACACACAUCCUGUUGUCCUGCUUAAGUUCUCUCCUUGGAGCAGGUGUGUGGUCUUGUCUCGGCAGGAGGACAAGUGUGGAUCAGGCCUCUCCUGGGGAAGGCUGUGUGGAAUGGGGUGGAAGGAGAACUCUGUGGGCCCCCAAGAAAUCUCCUGAGCAGCACUGAGCCAAGAGAGCAGUUACCAUCUUGGAGCUCAUUUCAUCAACCUUCCCUGUUAGUUUACAUCUCCACUGUGGGUUGCUUCAAGGGGCAGCAGCCCAGAGAAAAAAGGGGACUAGAAGAACCAGGCUUUCUGGAGGUAAGGACUGGCAUGUUUAUAGCCUCACCUUGGGGACAAGUGGGAAGAGGACCAGGAUGGCCCUGAUGUUCUAGUGCUGAGUAGGCAGCCUGAGUGGAAGCAGAGCCAGGUUCUGUGGUGUCAGGCAUGGGUCUGUGUGUCUGUGUAAAUGGUGCUGGUGUGGCUUAGGG